rnacentral:lncRNA from 1 species
CGAUCGCUCUCGUACUCAUAAGUUGUUUUCGAUGAUAGAGCUUCCGAAUCGAUGAUCCAUACCGUUAAACAUUAUGUAGAAUAUUAAAACUUCUAGAAAUCAAAUUUUAUAAUUUUUUAACAUCAUUUACCUUACGAUCAAAAGCUCACAAAAUUGACAAUAUUUAAUGGUCGGUAUGAGAAACUUAUUAGUUUAACGAUAUAAAAGAAUCGGAAUAGGUUGAAUUUUUGAUAGGAAAUUGUAUUCACUAUCUAGAUAAAGAUCAAUAUAUAACUCCAAUCUUAAAUUGAAGGAUUUGAUCAUUCAUUUUUAGGACGUCGUUCGAUUUUGACUAUUCAUUUUAUGCCCGUUUGAUGGACUUUAUUAUGAUUUCGAAAAAUUAUGAAAUUUAAUUUUUAGAAGUUUCAAAUACUCUAGAUCAUAUUUAAUGGAGUGGAUUGUCGAUUCGGAGGCUCCAUCAUCGAAAACAAUUGAUGAGUAUGAAGGGCUCUAUACUCAUAAAAGUAUAGUACAUCUAAAAGUACCAACCCAUUGGUACUUUUACUAGGUUUCUAGCCUUUAGAUCUACCCCUUGACUAUUAGUAGCCCUUGGAUCAAAUGCUAUUCCACUUACCACCACUCAAUCCAAGUGGGCUACUAUCAUUCUAGCACUACAACACCUCUAUCCAAUGGCUACAAAUUUAGAAACACUAAUCCCUUGGUGCUUUUGAAGUAUUCUAGCUCAGUAUAUAUAUAGGCUAGGGCUACUAUAUUCUUAUGAGUAUAUGAUCUAACGGGUGGAAAUGGUCAAAGGGGUAGAUUUAACUGCCGAAAACUUAUGAGUACAAAGAGGCCUAUAUUUGUAAGAGUAUAAUAGUCGAACUCAUAUAUAGUA